UGCGCUCUCCUUAAUCCGGGGUCCUACUUGGCAUAUUUAAGAAUUCACCAUUCAAAAUCCCUGCAAUUCUAGAGCCUCUAGCUCAAUUCUCUAUCGCUGACGUGACAAUAUAAUUCCACAUCACUUAUUUUGUUUAUUUUAUUCUCAAUUUUAAAACACAACUCACGCCCCUCUUUUGCUCAAAGAAAAAGAAACUCACGCCUCUCUUCCUCACCCCAUCAAAGCCGCCCCUGAAACUCCAGGAAAGUGCCGCCGGCGAGCCAUGGCCACAGAUUCUCUCUCGACCCCCUUCUCCAUCUCUCAGUCCCUAAUCUCCCUCCUCUCUCCCAAACAAAGCCUAGAUCUCCAAAUCCUCACUGCCUCUUCGCGAUUUCCGGCGACCACAACAGCCAUGGCUGUCGCCGUCCGACCAGCAGAGGUGACACACAAAGGUGUUGGAUAGCACACGCCCAUGGAGGUGUUGAAAGCUCAAAACUGCACUUCCCCCACCACGAUUCGCCCCGCUGACCUCCGCCGCGAUCUGCCACCUCCCUUUCUCCCUCCCCCACCGCGAUACGCAGCGUCGGCCCUGCAUCGAUCUACCCAUGUCGUUCAACCUUGCCUCCCCGACUCGCCACUGUCCCUGUGCCGUCGUCGGAGACUCCUCUGCCUCGACGAACAAGGUAGCCACCCCGGGCUCUCACAAGUGAAAGGAGAGUCUCACACAAACAGGUAAACUCUCCAAGUAGCGGAUCCCUUAUGAGUCGAAUUCCAUCAAAUCACAUUUCUAAGGAGAGAUUGCUGCAUAAUUUAUGUGAUUGAAGGAAAUCAACUCCUGCUGAAGUGCUCAUCUUUAAAGCUGGCUAAUUGACAAGUGACAUUUAGUGAAAUAUGUGUUUUUGGUGCCAAGGCAUUGAUAGGUUUCUUUGGCUAUUAAUUUCUUAUGGUGUAGCUUAUCCACUCUUAGUAAAACCUUCUAUCUCAAUGUCAAUUGAGAGAAAAGAAGAUCAUGGUUGAAUAUUAUGCAAAAAUCUGAACUAGAAUCCUAUCCAUUUGGUGACCAGAAAUUAAAUUAGAAUUUGGAAUGAGAUUGUAAUAUUGUCAUAUUUACUUUAAACUUUAGGUACUUCUAAUUGAUUUGAAAGUUUGUUUAUGUUUAGACUCAUGUCCGUUUUUUAAUACUGGAAAUUCCUUUGGGGUGCUCAA